rnacentral:piRNA from 1 species
UGAUGUUUGCUUGCCGAUGAUCUUAUU